UACAGAGGUCUCAAGCGUUGUUCGGAUUCAUUGGGCGUAAAGGGUGCGUAGGCUGCGAGGUAAGUCUGGUGUGAAAGCCCGGAGCUCAACUCCGGAACUGCCUUUAAGACUGCAUCGCUUGAACGUCGGAGAGGUAAGUGGAAUUCCGAGUGUAGAGGUGAAAUGCGUAGAUAUUGGGAGGAACACCAGUGGCGAAGGCGGCUCACUGGACCGGUUCUGACGCUGAGGCGCGAAAAGCGUGGGGAGCAAACGGGG
rnacentral:rRNA from 1 species